rnacentral:rRNA from 1 species
CCUACGUGGGGCUGCAGUGGGGAAUAUUGGACAAUGGGCGAAAGCCUGAUCCAGCCAUGCCGCGUGUGUGAAGAAGGCCUUCGGGUUGUAAAGCACUUUCAGUGGGGAAGAAAGCCUUGGGGCUAAUACCCUCGAGGAAGGACAUCACCCACAGAAGAAGCACCGGCUAACUCCGUGCCAGCAGCCGCGGUAAUACGGAGGGUGCGAGCGUUAAUCGGAAUUACUGGGCGUAAAGCGCGCGUAGGCGGUCUGAUAAGCCGGUUGUGAAAGCCCCGGGCUCAACCUGGGAACGGCAUCCGGAACUGUCAGGCUAGAGUGCAGGAGAGGAAGGUAGAAUUCCCGGUGUAGCGGUGAAAUGCGUAGAGAUCGGGAGGAAUACCAGUGGCGAAGGCGGCCUUCUGGACUGACACUGACGCUGAGGUGCGAAAGCGUGGGUAGCAAACAGGAUUAGAUACCCUAGUAGUC